rnacentral:rRNA from 1 species
CCUACGGGAGGCAGCAGUGGGGAAUCUUCCGCAAUGGGCGAAAGCCUGACGGAGCAACGCCGCGUGAGUGAUGACGGCCUUCGGGUUGUAAAACUCUGUGAUCCGGGACGAAAAGGCAGAGUGCGAAGAACAAACUGCAUUGACGGUACCGGAAAAGCAAGCCACGGCUAACUACGUGCCAGCAGCCGCGGUAAUACGUAGGUGGCAAGCGUUGUCCGGAAUUAUUGGGCGUAAAGCGCGCGCAGGCGGCUUCCCAAGUCCCUCUUAAAAGUGCGGGGCUUAACCCCGUGAUGGGAAGGAAACUGGGAAGCUGGAGUAUCGGAGAGGAAAGUGGAAUUCCUAGUGUAGCGGUGAAAUGCGUAGAGAUUAGGAAGAACACCGGUGGCGAAGGCGACUUUCUGGACGAAAACUGACGCUGAGGCGC